rnacentral:rRNA from 1 species
UACGGGGGGGGCAAGCGUUGUUCGGAAUUACUGGGCGUAAAGGGUUCGUAGGUGGCCCGCUAAGUCAGACGUGAAAUCCCUCAGCUCAACUGGGGAACUGCGUCUGAGACUGGUGGGCUUGAGUGCAGGAGAGGAACGCGGAAUUCCAGGUGUAGCGGUGAAAUGCGUAGAUAUCUGGAGGAACACCGGUGGCGAAGGCGGCGUUCUGGACUGUUACUGACACUGAGGAACGAAAGCCAGAGGAGCAAACGGG